rnacentral:rRNA from 1 species
CGAUUUGGGAUAAGUCCCUUGGAAAAGGGCAGCAUAGAGGGUGAUACUCCCGUCUUUGCUCAGAUUGUCUAUGUGUACGAUACGCUUUCUUUGAGUCGAGUUGUUUGGGAAUACAGCUCAAAGUAGGUGGUAAAUUCCAUCUAAAGCUAAAUAUUGGUGCGAGACCGAUAGCGAACAAGUACCGUGAGGGAAAGAUGAAAAGAACUUUGAAAAGAGAGUUAAAGAGUACCUGAAACUGUUGAAAGGGAACCGUAACAUGUCCAGUGUUGUAUCUUGUGCAUAUUUCAUUAGUGGAGCAAUUCACUGGUGCCCUGUGCAUGAGUGUGACGUCAAAGUCAGUUUGUAUGCUGCGGGAGAUGGUUAGCAAGGAGGUGCGUCACUUUUGUGUCAGUUAUACCUUGUUAACUAGUAGCCGUGGUUGAGACUGAGGUGCCUACAACAUGCUUAUAGAGUAUAUCGUUGUCUCGUCAUUAUACCUGUUUGGAUAGCUUGCUAUGCUGAUGGUCUAUAGUGGCGAUUGAUGAUGGUAUUAACUUUUUGCUGUUCGGGACUUUGACGAAAUGGAAUGUUACGACCCGUCUUGAAACACGGACCAAGGAGUCUAACAUGUGUGCAAGUAUUAGGGUGUGGAAACCCAAAUGCGUAAUGAAAGUAAAUGCUACCUGUGUAGCUUUGGUAGGAAAGGGCUGUCAUGGUCCUGGCACUAUCGACCGAUCAUGAACCUACGGGUGAAAGAUUUGAGUAUGAGCAUAUAUGUUGGUACCCGAAAGAUGGUGAACUAUGCCUGAAUAGAGUGAAGCCAGGGGAAACUCUGGUGGAAGCUCGUAGCGAUUCUGACGUGCAAAUCGAUCGUCAAAUUUGGGUAUAGGGGCGAAAGACUAAUCGAACCAUCUAGUAGCUGGUUCCCUCCGAAAUUUCCCUCAGGAUAG